AUGCGAGGUCGUGGAGCUUGCCUUGAACAAUAGAAUCUAUAUUUUCCAUCUCAAUAUAUCAUGCUCGAACCAUGCUCCAGAUCAUUGAUGGUAAAAAGCUCAUGUGAACUUAAUCCUAUAAUGCAACAGGACAUGCCAACUUUGUGAUCAUUUGUGCUUGUUAAGAGUAAUAAAUCAAUGUGUUAAUUCAUCGCUUUUCUUUUUGAAAGUUGGAAUUCCAGAUAGUAGCUAUUGAGAGUCAAAGAAGCAAAAAGUAGAAACUAUAAUUAAAAAGAUUACUCCCCUUUUCAUGUACUAUAUUUUUGCUGACUGCAUCAAUAGCCAUGGCUGGAGAUUGGCGGCAGAUUAUUUCAGGUUUGCCAUUUAAUCAAACAGUUGGAGGUAAUGUGGAGAUAAGAGAAGAAGUUGAAAUUAUUUGAAGCACCAAACUAGCUUUGCUUGCCAAUAGUGAAUAACAAAUGGAGCUUUAAAAGGUUAGAAUUGACCUCGUUUUCUCCAUAUUGCAGUGAAUAGAAGUCCUCAAAUGAGCUAAUUAUGAAGCCGUAUAAUUUUACCUAGUGCUUGCCCAAAGAAACAAAUAAAAGCAGCCCACUUAACAAGUCUCUAAUGGGAGAGAAGCUGUAGUGGCCCAAAAGAAUAUGGAACAAAUGUCCACCUUGAAGGACACAAGCUGGAAAAUUAUAAGGCCCAUAGUAAAAUAUCAAGCCCAUAUUUUUUAGAGAAGAUCCAUCAAAUGAGUUAGCUGACCCGCCCCAAAUGUGUUGAUACAUUUGGACGGCAGGAAAGGCAGCAAAGGUACCACUUAUUCUGCCAAAAAGCCUAUUACAUAGCCAGCAAAAAUCUGCAAAAGAUUGAAAUUGACAACCCACNACUGAGGCGAUGACCCACAGGGGACGACGCGUCAGGCACGUCUAAUCGUUGUAAAGCUAAGUGAGGAGCUCAUCUGCCACCGAUACGAUGACCCACAAGGGACGACGCGUUGGGAGAUAGCUAAAGCUUUGUAAAGCUCAGGGGGGAACGCAGCGAUUGAGGCGAUGACCCACAAAGGACUCCGCCUCAGGUGUGUCUAAGCUUUGUAAAGCUGAUUAAGGAGCUCAUCUGCGACUGAUACGGGAGAUGGUUGAAGGUCGGUAAAGCUUUUGCAACGGUAUAGCCAAGGCGAUGACCCACAUGGGACUCUGCGUCGGGAGGGUUAAAACUUUAUCAAGCUACGGACAGCAUUUGGUGAGGUAGGAGAUAGACAUCUCGCGAAUAAGUCUCGAACUAUCAGAGGCUUAGUGACUUGCCUCGGAAUGACGAGGACUUAGAGUCAGGCUCGACAAUAGUGAGAAGUGAGGAAGACGUCUUGCGGAGCCUUAAAUAAACAUUUGACAAUAUGCCGAACUGUCGAAGUCUUAUAAGCUGACCUCAAAUAGACGAGAACUUAGAGCUAAGCUCGAUGAUAGUGAGGCGCGAGGAAAAGACAUCUUGCGAAGCCAGGGAUGAACACCUGGUGAAUUGUCGAACUAACGAAGUCUUAUAAGCUUUCCUCGAAUAGAUGAGGACUUAGAGCAAGGCUCGGCGAUAGUGAGGCGCGAGGAAAAGACAUCUCGCAAAGCCAGGGAUGAACACCUGGUGAAUUGUCAAACUAACGGAGUCUUAUAAGCUGGCCUCGAAUAGACAAGGACUUAGAGCUAGGCUUGACGAUAGUGAGGCAGGGAAUAAGCAUCCCGCGAAGCCAGGGAUAAACAUUUGGCGAAGUGUCAAACGAUCGGAGUCUUAUAAGCUGGCCUCGGAUAGACUAGGACUUAGAGCUAAGCUCGACGAUAGUGAGGCACGAGGCAAAGAUAUCUCGCGAAGCCAGGAGUGAAUUGUCGAACUAACGGAGUCUUAUAAGCUGGCCUUGGAUAGACGAGGACUUAGAGCUAAGCUCGACGAUGGUGAGGCGUGAGGAAAAGAUAUCUCGCGAAGCCAGGGAUGAACACCUGGUGAAUUAUCGAACUAACGGAGUCUUAUAAGCUGGCCUCGGAUAGACGAGGACUUAGAACUAGGCUCAACGAUAGUGAGGCGGGGAAUAAGCCUCCCGCGAAGCCAGGGAUAAACAUCUGGCGAAGUGUCGAACGAUCGGAGUUUUAUAAACUGGCCUCGGAUUUACUAGGACUUAGAGCUAAGCUCGACGAUAGUGAAGCGGGGAAAAGCUAGGAAUAAUCAUCUGGCGAACUGUCGAACUAUCGGAGUCUUAUAAGCUGGCCUCGGAUAGACUAGGACUUAGAGCUAAGUUAGACGAUAGUGAGGCGGGGGAAAAGCAUCCCAAAGCCAGGAAUAAUCAUCUAGCGGGAACCGUUGAACUAUCGGAGUCUUAUAAGCUAACCUCGAAUAGACAAGGACUUAGAGCUAAGCUCGACGAUAGUGAGGCGGGGAGUAAUUAUCCCGCGAAACCAGGAAUAAACAUCUGGCGAUGCAAGGAAUAAACAUCUCGCAGGGCCAGGAAAGGCUCCUUUUUCAAGGACAAACACGUCUGACAAUUAGCCUCUUCCUUUAUUCAAGGAACGAGGGCUCCUAGAUUACUUCUUCCUUUACCAAGGAAAGAGGACUUCAAGGUAUCACCUUUUCCUUUAUUCAAAGAAUGAAGACUUAUAAAAUUUCGC
rnacentral:lncRNA from 1 species